rnacentral:misc_RNA from 1 species
GAUGAAGAACGUAGCGAAAUGCGAUAAGUAAUGUGAAUUGCAGAAUUCAGUGAAUCAUCGAAUCUUUGAACGCACAUUGCGCCCCUUGGUAUUCCGAGGGGCAUGCCUGUUCGAGCGUCAUUAUAACCCUCAAGCUCAGCUUGGUGUUGGGGCCUGCUGCACUGGCAGCCCUUAAAAUCAGUGGCGGCGCCAUCUGGCUCUAAGCGUAGUAAUUCUUCUCGCUAUGGAGUCCUGGAGGAUGCUUGCCAUCAACCCCCAAUUUUUCUAUGGUUGACCUCGGAUCAGGUAGGGAUACCCGCUGAACUUAAGCAUAUCAAUAAGCGGAGGA